GACGAACGCUGGCGGCGUGCUUAACACAUGCAAGUCGAACGGAAAGGCCCUGCUUUUGUGGGGUGCUCGAGUGGCGAACGGGUGAGUAACACGCGAGUAACCUGCCCUUGACUUUGGGAUAACUUCAGGAAACUGGGGCUCAUACCGGAUAUGAGCUCCUGCUGCAUGGUGGGGGUUGGAAAGUUUCGGCGGUUGGGGAUGGACUCGCGGCUUAUCAGCUUGUUGGUGGAGUAGUUGCUUACCAAGGCUUUGACGGGUAGCCGGCCUGAGAGGGUUAACGGCGACAUUGGGACUGAGAGACGGCCCAGACUCCUACGGGAGGCAGCAGUGGGGAACAUUGCGCAAUGGGCGGAAGCCUGAUGCAGCAACGCCGCGUGCGGGAUGACGGCCUUCGGGUUGUAAACCGCUUUCGCCUGUGACGAAGCGUGAGUGACGGUAAUGGGUAAAGAAGCACCGGCUAACUACGUG
rnacentral:rRNA from 1 species